UUCCACUGAAUGGUGAGAGAACACUGAAGCGGCAGAAUAAGUCUCCAUAAUAAUAAUAAUUUUUAAAAAGAGUAAGCUAGAAGACAGGCAGGCAGGCUCAAGGAUUGUUUACUGUCCAGGAAAAAGAGAGGAUUUUUUUAUGCAGCAGAGCAGAACAGGCUGACUAAAUUAUAACCUUAGCCCCCAGCAGCAAUCAAAGAACUAAAGAGGAAAAAAGGAACUCAGGGGAAAGGAAGGAAUGUAAAAAAAAUAGAAAUUCAUAAAAAGCCUUUAUCAACAUGGGAGAGAAAGCACAGAACUUGAAGAGUGAAAUAAGAAGACAGAAACAAGUUAGAGGAAAAUGAGAAAUAGAUCAAAAAAUGAUGAGCCCUGGAUACAUUCAAGUUCUGCUUAUGCACACCAGAAAUGGCACCAGAAAAUUUCAAAUAUGGCAAGCCAAUCUCUAUACAAAGGGGAUGUGACCAGGGGCAGACUAACAGCUGAUGUAGCUAAGGAGGUGAACUCUCUUCUGGGAUCUCCACCUCUGGGACAAUUAGUGACCCCAGAAGAAUCCACACUAUUUUUUAAAAAAGAGUCCACAGGUGAAAGGCAAGGGCAAGGAGAACAUUUCUAUGAUGGUCUGAUGUAUCACUGGGCAAGAACAGCAGAGGAGGAUCAGAACUGACCCCUAAUGGCAAAUGAAGGAUGAACAGAUGCUGACACUCAAGAGAGGGAUCUGCAAAGUGGUUGUGAGAGGCAAUUAAACCUCAGUAACAAGUCCUACAUGGAUCAUAGGAUGCCCUGUAUGGCCCUAACUGUGGGUUCACUACAGUGAAGGAUGACACCUGGUAAAGACCAGGGACAGGGAUUCUGGCUGUGGGCUGCCUUCUCUUCUACCCCUCCAGCUGGGCAAGUGGCCUGAAGCCACUAAGGCUGGGAUGGCUCCAGCAUGAGCUGAUUAUGAGACUUGCAAACCUCAACAUCCUCCUGCUUUCUGAACAUUUCUUUCCAGGUACAUAAAAAUCUUGGCAUAGUGAUAUCCAUCUCAAGCUACCAUAAUGGCCUAGAGGAAUACCACAUCCUGCCUGGUCUGGAAACUGACUGACUCAACUAUACUUAGAAUGCUUAGAUAAUACCUUAAAAACCUGUAGUGAUCCUUCCUGUUAGACAUUUCUUUUCUAA